CUCGCUUCUCGGCCUUUUGGCUGAGAUCCAAGUAUAUAUUUGUUCCAAUUACCUUAACAUCUGAUAUGUCCUACUUCGAAAUUGAACUUAUCUUUUACCUAUGAGAACAAAGUGUUAGGGGCUUGCUUUAUCACUGUCACGGGUUGGCCUGGUAUUGCAUCACACCAGGAUCGUUCUUGUGGAG